GAUGAAAGCAGUCCUUUACAAAAAGUGGCUGAGACAGAGAAUGGUGUUGGGGAUCUUGUGCUUUCAAAUUAAGCACUACAGGUAACACAUUUGAAUAACAGAAACAAUCCAGGCACCCCUGAAUGUCUCACUGUCCAGAUCUCCUGUUACAGGUGUGUAGUAUCUCCUGUAAUUAUUACAGGGGAUAAGACUUUUGUCAUAAAUCAAGUGUUUGGUUCUAGAAACUGCAUGCUUAUGUAUUUUUGUUUUCAUAUAUGGUGUGUGCACAUUUUCUGUCUGCGGAAACUACACCAACCUGUUUGAACCCAUUGUGAUUGAUGAUGAAGACGAUGUUGAAGAUCUUACUUAUGACAAAGAGAAAGACCUGCCCAC